GGAGGGAUGGCAGAGUGGACGAAUGCGCUGGUCUUGAAAACCAGUAUACCGGCAACGGUAUCGUGGGUUCGAAUCCCACUCCCUCCGCCA
rnacentral:tRNA from 1 species